CAGGGGAGCUGAGUGAAUUCUCCCAAUAUCUUUUGUUCAUUUUGCCCAAAGGGUUUUAGGGACUUCCUCCAAAAGGGCUGGGUUCUUGGAGUUAUCCUCUGUUUUAUGAUGAAAAACUGUUAGAGAUACUGAAGAUUUCUUAAUGUUAUCUGAAGCAGUGAGGGUUGAGUCGAUUUCAAGAAGUAUUUCCCCCUUUUGAGAAAAAGAGAUGGCAGCAUGAUAUUUUUCUAAAAUGUCUUGUCCCAGUAAGUUGGCAGUAGCAGAAUUGACCAAUAGGAAAGAAUGACUGUCCUAGAGAGGGCCCAAUUGGAAAGGGAAGGGAAGGGAUUUAUAAGCUGUAGGGGGUUUAUUAGAUACUGCCACAAUUUGAAUUUUCUCAGUACUCUAAGGAAGGGGUUGUUUGAGGUUGGCAGGGUUGAACAUGGAAAGUGUGGCUUCAGCAUUGAUUAAGAUAGUAAGGACCUCAUUUCUGAUUAUUACGGAAGUUUCACCCAGGUGAUUAAUGAGGAGGAUCAGAAAAACUCCUUGUUUUUUCCCAGAGCAGCUUCAGUCCAUAGGAGGAGCUGAGGCUUAACAUCGGAGGAUUGUUUAGAGUGUUUUAGUUUAAGACAAUUGUUUUGCCAAUGGCUAGACUUUUUGCAAAAAUAGCAAACAUUUUUAGAGUUUAAAGGGUUUUACUUAGUUUGGUGAGGCUGAAAGGAGGCUGAUAGUUCUUGAAGCCGUAAAUUCUUGAUUUUAGUAGCCUUUUGUUUAUUUGAUUUUUGGAUAGUCUGGGCUAAUUGAUUUGCUGAAUUAACCAAAUCAGGAGUUGUUAUAAUUUCCCAAUUAAGUUGUGCUCACUUUACUAGAAGUGCAAGAUCUUCAUCUAAGACAUUUCUGAACACGGAAUUCAAGGGCACCUUAGUGGACUCUGUAUCUGAAGGGAGUCCAGAAUUUUCCUUAAAAAUAACUUCAAGCCUGUUGUAAUAGUCAUGCACAGGUUUGUCAGUCCUUUGUGUGCAUGCUUGAAUUCUAUUCCAAUCAACAGGUUUUGGUAAGGCCAAGGGAUGGCCUCAUAUAAGGUUUUUGCUUUUUGUUGGGCUGUAGGUCUAUCAUCUGGCAUGGUUAUGAAAAGUCCUGUAAAGGAUGAUUCCACCCGAGGUUAGCCGUGUAAUUUUGGGCCUGACCACCUCCCACGAGCAGGGGAAUUAAUUGAUAAAGACUGGAAAAUCCAGGCUCUCAUAGGUUUAAAUAACAAUGUUAAAAUCUUCUCCAAACUGGUGAGGGUCCUCAGUAACCUUGGGAAAUAUUUUACCUAUAGCCCUCAAUUCUGCUUUUGUCCAAGGCAUGUAAGCUAUAUUUAGGUGGAUGUUCUCUUAGUUUAAAAGGAUGAAUUUGAACUGGUUUAGUAAGUGAAGUUGGGGCUGGAGGAUUGAGGCAAGCCUCAGGGUCUAGGAGAUAAAAACAGAGUUUAGCAAGGGAAGAAUAAAGGGAAAAGGGAGGUGGAGGGUGGAGGACAGGUUUGAGAAGCCAGAAGGGGAGGAGAUUGAGCAGAGGGGUAACAGGAAAAACGAGUCUUUUGUAAUAGAGAAAUCUUUUCAGUAAAUUUAGGAUUUGUGUCUGGGAGGGGAGCAAUUUUAAGAGUCCUGGACUCUUUUACAAGCUUCUAAAUACCAAUUAAAGUAAAUAUCCCAUUCAGCUUGUUUUGUUCUAUGUCUUUCAAGUUUAUUGCACAGACAAAUACGUUUAGAAACUUUGAAAGAGCCACAUUGUGGUCACUGUAAUUUUAAAUCAUCUUUGGUGUUAUUGGUCCACCGAGAUGGACAUUUACGAGAGGAAGGACCAUAGUUCUUACACAUGAUACCAGCUGGAGUUCCCCGAGGGAGGAAUUUCUUGGGAAACUUUAGAAAAUGAAGUGUCCCAUGGUGAAGAAAAGCAUGCAAAUGAGAAUGAUAAUAGCAAAAUCCGUCUAUUUAUUUAGUGUACUUACCAAUCAAGGAAAAAGAAUCUUGCUGAGGGAAACUCUUCCUGCAGCAAUGACCAUAAGCCAAAAAAGCCACACCAGCACUGAGACAGUUAUCUCCUGGCCAGUUCCCCCUGAUCCUCCCACCCCUUCCCCACAAAAGGCACUGGUCUUGACCAAAUGGAGGGAGUUCAGCACCUGAGAAGACUCACAAUUGGAAGAAUCAGUGAUCUGUGGAAAUGGUGAGCCCAAGGGGCUUGUGUAGGCACUGUACCCCAUUCUAGGGGAUGCCAAUCCACAAAGGUGAGAUCACUUCAGCUCCUGCUUUCUGACACCAUGUAUGUUAACGUAAAAAUAAAGAGCCAAAAUGAGAGGCAUUUAUUUUGGGAUCACGAAAUUGCAAUUUGGAAUAGCGUCCUGUUAGGUAGUAAGAGGUAGGGGCUUUUGAAGACAAAAGAGGAAGGUUUGCAUUACAAAGAAUGUUAAUUUGGAUUGGCUGUAGAAAGCUCAUCUUGGCUAAACAUAAUUGUGAGACUAUGGCCAAAGUGAGGUAAAAGUUUGUCACAGUGACCAGUUGCAGGUCUCCUGUGGUGGUCUCAGAUUAUUUGUGUCUUAACUCAGUUCAAAAGUUCAUAUUCUGACUGAUGAGGAUGUUUAUAAGACCAAUUUCCUUAUGGCUUCCCAGCACUAUUUUAAAGCCCUUAGAAAUAAGUGACACCGUUUUGUUUUACAUUUCACAUUUCCUUAUUGAUUUCCUGUCUGGAUUAUCUAUCCAUUGUUGAAAGUGGGGUAUUGAAGUCCCCUGCUCUUCUUGUAUUGCUGUGUAUUUAUUCCUUCAGAUCUGUUAAUAUUUACUCUUUAUAUUGAGGUGCUACUGUGUCAGGGGUGUAAGUAUUUACAGUUGUCAUAUCCUCUUGAUGAAUUGACCCCUUUAUCCUUAUAUAAUGGCUUCUUUGUCUCUUUCAAUCUUUGGCUUAAUCUAUUUUGUCUGAUAUAAGUAUAGCUCCCCCUGCUUUAUUCUGGUUUCCAUUUGCAUGGAAUAUCUUAUUCCACUCCUCCUUUUUCAUUCUAUGUGUGUCCUUAAAGCUUAGUUGUCUCUUCUAGGCAUUAUAUAGUUAAGUCUUUUUUUUUUUUUUUUUCAUACACUCAGCCACUCAGUCUUUUACUAAAGAAUUUAGUCAGUUUACAUUUAAAGUAAUUAUAGACAGAUUUGGACUGCUAUUGUCAUUUUGUUAAUUGUUGUUGUUUUGUAAUUCUUUUGCUCCUUUCUUCCUCUUUUCCUCAACUGCUUUUUGAUCUGAGGAUUUUCUGUAGUAGUAUGCUUUGAUUUCUUUAUCUUUUGUGCAUCCAGUAUAGGCUUUUGCUUUGUGGUUACCAUGAGGCUUACAUAAGAUAUCUUUUAUGUAUAUAAGUCUGUAUUAAGUUUGUAAUAUCUUUGAAUGUGUAUCAAUGCUCCCCCAAUCCCACAUAUGUUUUUGAUGUCACAAUUUUCUUCUUUUUACAUUGUGUAUCCAUUAAUGAAUUAUUGUACUUAUAGUUAUUUUUAAUACUUUUGUCUUUGAACAUUCAUCUACAGUUAUAAGUGAUUUACACAUCACCAUUACAUUAGAGUAUUCUGAGUUUAACUGUAUAUUUACCUUUACCAGUAAGUUUGAUAUUUUUAUAUGUUUUCCUCCUAUUUAUUAACAUCCUUUGGUUUCUGCUUGAAGAACAUUUUUUGUAAGACUGGUCUAGUAGUAAAUGAACUCUUUCAGCUUUUGUUUGUCUGGAAAACUUUAUUUCUCUUUUAGUUCUGAGGAACCACUUUGCCGGGGAGAAUAUUCUUGGUUGGCAGUUUUUUCUUUCAGUGUUUUGAAUAUAUUGCCCUGCUCCUUUCUGGCCUGCAAGAUUUCUGCUGAAAAUUUUGCUAAAAGUCUAAUGAGGGUUCCCUUGUAUUCAAUAAGUUGCUUUCUCUUGCUGCUUUUACAAUUUUCUCUUAAACUUUUGACAAUGUAAUUAUAAUGUAUUUUGGUGUGGGUCUCUUUGUCUUCCUUUUUUUGUUAUUCUCUGGGAUUCUUGGAUCUGGAUGUCUGUUUCUUUCCCCAUAUUAGGGUAGUUUUCAUGUCAUUAUUUCUUUGAAUAUGCUUUCUUCUCCUUCUCUCUCUUCUCCUUCUAGGACCUCUAUAAUAUGUAUAUUUGUUCUUUUGAUUGUGUCCCUAAGUCCCUUCAGCUAUCUCCACUUUUUCAUUCUUUUUUUCUUUUGGCUUAUCUGACUGGAUGGAUUCUAUUGCUCUGUCUUCAGUUUCACCAAUCCUUUCUUUUACUUGAUCUAGUCUACUAUUGAACGUGCCUAUUGGAUUUUUCAGUUCACUUAUUGUGUUAUUUAGCUUUCUGGUUUCUGUUUGGUGCUUUUAAUUUUCUUUUUUUCUUUGUUGAAAUUCUCACUUUGUUCAUACAUUGCUUUCCUGAUCUCAGGGAGCAUUUUUUUGACCAUUGUUUUGAACUCUCUAUCAGGUAUAUCACUUGUCUUGAUUUUAUUAAGAUCUGAUUCUGAAUGUUUAUCUUGUUUUUUGUUUGAAACAUAUUCCUUUGUCUCUUCAUUUUCCUUGAUUCUGUCUUGUUUCUGUGCAUAAGAUAAAAUAUCCACUUUUCUCAGUCAUGAAAUAAUGGUCUUGUGUAGGAAAUGAAUCUUUUUGAUCAGCCCAGCCCAACCUUCUAGUUGUCUCUCAAACCUUUGUGAUUGUCCAAGCCUUCUUUUUUGUUCUUAGAGGGUCACAGUAUUUGUGGAUGUGCCAAGACCCAAGAGUGUCCCAAAGGGGAGGUUCGCAGUCUGUGCCUAGUUGCAUGCUGAUUAGAAGGUUGCCCCUCAGGCAGCAAUUGGGAAACUAUGUAGUUAAGGUCCUUCUAGCGGGAAGCUGGAAGAUGGACAUUUUUGCCUGCUCCCUCUGUUGUGGGCCUGGGUAGAUAGCCAUAGGGUGGAGUGCUGUUGCACCUGUUAAGAGCUAUUUCUUUGUUUGCUACAGUCCUGUGGGACUUGUGAUUGCAAGCUCCUUUGUCUGUUAGAGCCAGGUGAUCUUGGGGCUUGUCCCUCAGGUGGCUUCCACAAAAUCUGGGGUACCAGAUGUGUGUAGAAGCUCCUUCCAGAGAAAUAUUGGUAACUUGGUUUUAUUAUUGGAGUGGGCUCAAGGGAAAAGGUGUGAGAGGUAUCUGCUUCCCUCUCUGGUUUCUGGGGAAGAUUGCGGCCAGCCCCUAGUUGGCCUGAUAAAUUAGAAGUCUGGCCCUCAGGCGACAGCUUUUAUAGUUUGCAGACAGACUUCUUUCAGGGGAAAAUUAGACUAUGGGCAAUUUUGCUUAUUCCUUCUGCACUGAACCUAGAGGGGAUAGUUGGUUGGGAAUAUGCUUCUUUAUUUGCUACAGUCCUGUGGGACUUGUGAAUGGAAGCCCCUUUAUCUAUCAGAGCCAGAUGGUCUGGAGACCUGGUCCUCAGUGGCAGCUACAAAUGCUGGGGUGCAAGUGAGUGUAUAAGCUCCUUCCAGGGAGAUACUUGGAACUUAGAGCAGGCUGGAGUGAGAAGGUGUGAGUAGUGUCCACUUCCUCAGUCUCUGGGGAGGAUCACAGCCAGAGCCAGUGCCUGCUAAAUUAGAAGACUGGCCUUUAGGCAGCAGCUUUUAAAGUAUGCAGAUAAAUCUCUUUCAUGGAAAGACUGUGAGAUGUGUUGUGUUGCCUGUUUCCUCUGUACUGAUCCCUGGGGUGAUAUCCUUGGUGAGUGCACAGUGGUUAAGAAUUGCUUCCUUGUUUGUUAGUCUUAUGAGUCUUGUGGACACAAGCUCCAUUGGCAUUUAGAGGUAGGGGUUUUGUGAGCUGGUCAUUCUGGUGAUAGUCUUAAAUGCUGGUGUGUUAGAUGUGGAAUCCAAGCCAUUAACUCUUCUGGGAGAAGCUAGAAGUUGAAGAUUCCCUCCCAGUUGUACCAUGCUGUGCUGGGGGUGGAUUUUACGGCACAGUGUCUCAGCCUUUCUUACCUGUUUCAAUGUGGAUAUUUUCUGAUUUGUCCUAUGUGUAGGAGUUGCUCAGCUAGUUUCUGGAUCUCUUUCAGAGGAAAUUGCUCUGUGUGUAGCUGUACAUUUGGUAUGUCUGUAAGAGGCAGGGAGCUCAGGAGCCUUCUAUGCACCAUCUUGGUCAACUCCCAAUUCCUAAACUUUGAAUCUUGCUUCUCAGUAAAAAUUUUUACCUUCUCCCUAACAUUGUUUUCCAAAUUUGAAGUAUAUUCUUCAAUAAUAUUUUAAUCUUCUGAGUUUUCUUACCCUUGAGUUAGAUGCCUCACUUAAAUGACAAUAAAAAUAUUUAUUUCUGCCAAAGCUCUUCCUGAGAUUGGAACCAUUAUUCUAGGGUUGCAUUUCAAUCCUGUGCUGACUUAUUAUUUUAAGUAAGGAUUACUUUAAAACAGAACUAAGUUAAGAACAUAUAAUUGUGGAAAAUCAGAGAAAUUUGCAUUAACUACACGAAUUUUAUUAGCUAUACAAAUUUCAUUAGCUAUGCAAAUAUAUACGUCUUUCACUGUUUCCUUUUUUUUCUUUAAAGAUAUUUUAUUCUGUGGAUCUGAUUUUCAUUAUGGCCAGUAAACAUAUUCUAUAUCAUUUGAAAGAUUUUAAAGCUUUUGUGAGUUGGUUUUUGGCCUAGUAUAUAGUUUGUCUUAGUGAAUGUACUGUAGGCGCUUAAAAAAAAGUAUGUUCAUUCUAAAGUUGUUGGUUAUAGUGUUUUAUAAAUGUCCAUUCAGUUGAGAGGGUUGAUAGUGUUGCUCAUGUCUUCUAUGAGUGAUAUUAUUGUGUCUUGUUCUAGAAAUUACUGAAAGAGUAGAGUUAAAAUCACCAACUGCCACUGUGGAUUUGUCUGUUACUCCCUUUAUUUAUGUCACUUUCAUUCCAUGUAAUUUGAAACUCUGUUAUUAGUCAGAUAAACGUUCAUAAUUGUUACGUUUUUCUUGUAAAUUGACCUUCUUAUAUUGUGAAAUAUCUCUAUCUCUGGUAAUACACUGUCUUGAAUUUUAUUUUAUCUAAAAUUAGUAUAGCCACCCCAGCCUUCUUAGGCUGUAUCUUUUCACCUUUUUUUCUUUCACCCUCUAUCUUUAUGUAUAGUUUUGUCAUUUUAGACAGCAGUAUAGUUGAGAUAUGUUUUAACUUUUAACAGCUGGAGUUUUUAUUUACGUAUAAUUAUUGAAAAUGUGGAUUUUCUACCAUUUUUAUUGUUUAUUUGUAAAUGUGUACUCACCUCCAGUGUCUAUGUUUUGUUUUUUGUUCUUGUCUCUCUUCUUUCUUGCCUUCUUUUGAUUGUUUGAAUACUUUUUAGAAUUCCAUUUUCCUUUAUCUUUUUAAGUCUAUCUCCUUGCAUUUUUUAUUGAUUACAAUAUAUAUAUUUAGUUUUUUCAGUCUUUUAAAAGUAAAUAUUAUAUUACUUCACAUAAACAUAAGAAUCUUAAACCCACAUAUACUCAUUUUCCUAGUCCCUGCCCUCUUUAUGCUAGAGUUGUCAUAUAUAUUAUAUUUCCAUUACUAUCAACUCUACAGCCAAUCAUAUAUUUGUUUUAAAUAAGUGUAUUUAUUGUAAAGAAUUUGAGGGAAAAAUAAUAUUUCAUAUUUACUUAAAUAUUAGUCAGUUUCCAUGCACUUCAUUCUAUCCUGAAGGUCCACGUUUCUUUCUGUUAUCAUUCUCUUUCUUCCCACAGAAAUUGCUUUAGCACUAUGACGACUGGCCCUAAUUUUUUUAUAGUUUUCUUUUAUCUGAUACUGUCUGUUUUAGUCUUCUUUAUUAAGGGAUAUUGUUACUGAAUAUAGAAUUAUGGCUUGAAUUUUUUUCUAGUACAUUAAAGACAAUAUUACAUAGUUUUCUGGCCUUCAUUGAAUAUAGCGAUUUCUCUCAGCUUUUUUGGUGGUAUCCAGCCUCCUUGGGCAAUGACUUAAGUCUAUUUUGACUUCAUCUGAGGAGUUAUAAUUGUUUCAACAUCUCAGAAUAGGAUUUAUAUAUUCCAACGCUAUUAUUUAACCUAGUUUGUAAAACGUGAAAGAGUCAAUAAUAUACAUAACCAGUGGAUACAAUCUUUAAUCCAAUCGAACUGUGUUUUCAAAGUUUCUUCUUGUUUGUCCACAUUAUGUGCAUCAGAGGGUUUAGAAAUAAAAAGAGAGUCUAAAAAUUGUUAACUUACUUAAAUUGUCCUAUUUUUUAAUUUUGCAGUCAACUAAAAAUAUAUAUGUGUGUUUACUUGAAACUUUUAUGGCCAAUUUAUUGUUAAUAUUCUAUGAAAACGUCACUCAAAAUCAAUUAGAAAAAAGAUAUCUGAGUUUGAAAGUGAGAAAGCAUAUAAAUUAACAAUUCGUAAAAGAAAAGUAUUGGGACCAGCCUGGUGGCAUAGUGGUUAAGUUCAUGCACUCUGCUUUGGCAGCCUGUGGUUCGCAUAUUUGGAUCCCGGGUGUGGACUUAUAUGCCACUCAUCAAGCCAUGCCAUGGUGGCAUCCCACAUGCAAAACAGAGAAAGAUUGGCACAGAUAUUAGUUCAGGGCCAAUCUUCCUCACCAAAAAUAAAUAAAUAAUUUUUUUAAAAAGUGUUCUAUGAUUGGCAAAGAGCAUAUAAAAAUAUGCUCAACUUUAUCAAUCUUUAUAAUAAAUUAAUUAAAUAGAUAUAUUAAACAAUUAUAAAUUAUUAUAUAAUGAAAUAAUUAUAUAUGUAUGUGUCUGUGUGUACAUACACGUAACACACAAAAAAUGAAGCACAUAAUGAAAUAAAUCAACAAUUACUUGCUUUUUUCACCUAUCAGAUGAAUAGUUACAUUUGCUAAUACAGGGUGGAGAAUUUUUUCGGGAGAUAGUGGAAAAUAUCUAUCAGAUGGAAAUUAGCACAUUUUGACUAACAAAUUUAUUUGUAGAAAUUUACCUAUAGGGUAUAGUAGGAAGUGUUUAAAGAUGUAUGUAAAUUCAAGCAUACUCAUUGCAACCUUAGUUAUACUUGUAAAAUUGAUGUAACCUGUUAAGUUGUAAGGCUAGGCAAAUUAGUCAUGAUAACAUUUAUCCAGUUGGAUUAUAUUCAGUUAUAUAUGGUAAUGUAUUUCAAAUUAAUUGAUACAAAAAUCCAGGGUUUUCGAAAGUUCAUUUAUCCACCAGUUAUUGAAUACCAACUAUGUUUGAGGCAUUAACAUUGUAUUUCAUUCAUGUAAAAUUAUAUAUGUAUGUGUUUGGAUAUGACCAAUAAAGCAAUUUAAUAGGAAGAAUAUUAAAAAAAGUUAUAGUGAAUUCUGAUCAUUAUUUUACUGUUUCAUUUGUGUGUGGUGUGUGUGUAUAGUUUAAAAUAUAUAUAUAUAUUUCAGUUAUAUAUAGCAUUUAUUAAGUUCUUAGUAUAUGUACCACAUGCUAAGAUAUACACUAUUUCAUGGAUUUUCUCAUUUAAUGUUCAUAAUAACCAUACGGAGUAGGAUAUUUACUCCCUUUCAAAGAUAAGAAAAUAGAGGCUGAGUUUGAUUGUAUAAUUCAUCCUAUUAUUCAUAACUUUAAAAAAACAUGACCCUAUGGAGUCACAGCCUUUGGAAGAUAAUUAAAAAUACUUAUAUUUUGCUAAAUCUAUUAAGAAAACAGUGUUUUGGGAAAGAAUGAAAAUUUCUGAGGUCAUAUUCAUUCUCCCUUUGUCUGUAAGGUCAGAGCCAUGAGAAUUACUAGGUGCAAUUUAUUGAGCUAAAAAGUGUAAGUGUUGAAAUAUUGCAGGAACAGGCGAAAAAGAUGAAUAGGACGUGGGUUUCUGGAAAAUUCCACGGUAUAGACCUGCAAAAUAUGACCUCUUGAAUUAUGGGGUACCAGUGCUUAGGAGACAGGACACUGUUCCUUAGCAGAAACCAUUUCAUAGAUGAAACAUGGGGAUACCAUGAGGGCAGAGAUCAAAGUGCAAAGAGAAAUGGCCAGUCAAGAUGAAUGUCACUAAAUGAAAGAAACCAAUUUUGGAAUAGACCUGAUGACAGGCAAUACCAAAACAUAAAUACUGCAGAUAGCAGGAAAAAGGCCAAUGAGGAUCUCAGAGUGAAAAAGCAAUCCCCAAAAGGUGUAGAUGUAAAUGUUAUAAUCUCCUGUUGGAAUUUUUUUUCCAGUUGUAAUUUAUGACUAUAUGGUCUGGAUUCUAAACUACCUAUCUCAUUUGAGUAUGUGUUCCAUAAUCAGUUCACUUCUCCCCAGUUAUCUAUAUUCAUUCUAACCCUUUUCCAAAGACAACAUUUUGUGUCUUGUGAGUGCAGUUAAUUAGCAAUUCUGAGCUAGUAGCUGAAAUGUUGGCCAAAAUGAUAAACAGAGGGAAUUGUGACAUAAAUUUUGCCUGACUAUGCCACAACAGUGGAUAAAGUAUGUUUAGAAAUUUGGUUUAUAAUGUGAGGAAUGUGCUAUGCUAUUCUAACUUUGCCUUUUUUUCUUCUGGUAUUUUGAGGGGAAAUGGACUAUAUAAGUUACUUCCAGUUGGGGCUCUGGAACAUUGAGAAUGUUGAAGGAGGAAGAUAAGUACAGAAGGAGAAAGCAGUUAUAGAUGGGAUGCCUGUCACAGCAUGGCUUGACAAGCGGUGCAUAAGCCCACACCUGUGAUCUGAACUGGUGAACCCCAGGCCACCAAAGCAAAAUGUCAAAGGCUAGAACAAGUUACCAUACUUCAGAGAAGAGAGGUGGAACUGCCAUCAAAGGUCACUGCCAAGAACCAAGAGAACAACUUCCUGUCCUUUGAUGAACACAACUACAAAGGAAUCAUGGCGGAAGUGUGGCCAGGGAUGUGCACCCCACCAACGGAUGGCUCAGGAUGGUCAGCACUGCUUUGUCCAAAGUUCAGCAUAUAUCUAGGUAGGGUUUGGUAGAAAGGCCUGGGAAGCUUCUUGUGCACGUGUGCCCGGGGGCCCGCGGCGUCGUGCUCUGAGGGCGGACUGACUGUUGCCCCUGCUCCGGGGCUCGGCUCUGGAUUCUCCAGGCCGCUGGCGCCCAUGAGGCGAUCGGCUCGCCCGCUGCGGAGCCCCCCAGCCUGCCUGGUUAGUUUGUCCAGGUUGGCAGAACGUGCUCGGAUCGAUGAUGACUCCCUCAUAUGCAUUCCUUGGAAAAUCUGAACAAAAUGAGUGAGAACUCACUACCGUCGUUCUCAUCGAAACUGAGGUCCGGCACGUUGUCUUCCCCAGGCAUGGCAGGAGUGAGGGACCGCUUCCCCUUGAGCGCACUGGGACGGGCACGGGCACCACGCCGGGCGUCCGCAUUUGGGAGCCGUGGCAUCUGGGGGUCCUUCCUCUCACCGCGUGAGGGGGGUGUCCGUCAGUCGGCGGUGCUUGGUUGAACGGCCUGUGGCUGAGGGCCGUGGCUGGCAGCUCGCAUCCUAGGUUGGGAAGUCGGAGAGUGUGGCGCUGGCACAGGCCCCGUGAGCUCAGGGCCUUGUGGCUGUGUGGGCCUGGUUCCCGCUGGGGACGAAGGCCCCGGGGGUCUGCGUCUCAGAGCUGAGCAGUAAGCAGUGGAAGGUCGCGUGGUUUCUGAUGAGAGCCCCGGGCCAGGCGGGCGGCCGUCAGCUGUUCUUGCCUUUUGGCUUGGUGAGGCAGUUGGAGCACCCCUCGCGGUUUGGGGCGCCGCCGGAGGGGUGAGACUUUGGUGCUGCAGCUUGGGGCUCCUCUAGUUCUCCGGCUCGCCCAGUCCACGCCAAGGUGCCCAAACGGGGACCGGGCUGUGGGCCUGGCACUCAGGUCAAGACACUGUGGUGGUUGAUGGCCUGGUCGUGGGGAGCUGGGGGGGAAGAAGAGCACGGAGAGGACAGGUCACAGUGUGAUGCCGUGGGCUUCCGUGGGACGUGCUGCCUCGUUGUGUUCCGAGCGCUGGCAGCGGCUUGUCGGGAAGGUGCCCUGGCUCUGACGGGGCUGGCGAUUGGUGCGUGCCGGGGAAGGCUGGAGGCUUGAAGGCCCGGGGGUGUGCACUGUGGUCGGUGACCUUUGUGGCAGAUGGCGGGCCUUGUUCCAGAGCGGUGGCGCUCUGCGGUUCUCUCCACGGUUCCUUGAAGAGGGGCCCGGCACGUGACUGCCGGGCGGCCGGCCGCCGCUGCUCAUCGAUUGCUUGGGCGACCGUGGCCUUGGAUCCUCCGCCGUCUCAGGCGCGGGGUCUCCGAGGAGAAAGCGUUCCUCCAGCACGGUCCGAUUUUCCUGGCGCGGUUCGCCUCAUGCCUCGUCGCAGGGCUUUAGGUUUCUUCGUGGAAGCCUGUGGGCCUGGCGGAGACGGCGGGUGCCGUGACCCGAGCUGCCCUGCCGCGCACAGACGUCCGCCUUGGAAAACGUCCGCCUCUCCAAGGGUGGCGGGGGCGGGGUGUGUGUGUGCUCGUUCCGUGCCUCCUCUUGCCUUCGUGGACAGAGCCAUCCUUGGGGCCGUGUGAGGUCGUUUGUGGUGUUACAGGUGCCGAGGGAGGGUCCAGACGUUGAACGUGACGGGUCGAGUCCCGUACGCACAGUCGAGAUUCCCUCGUGGCCGUCCUCCCCGGGGCUCCCUGGCCGCCACGUGUGUGUAGGGUUUGAGGUCCUGCUUGGGGGACUUGCCUCGCAGGCCUGAGGUGGGCCAGGCAGCGCGUGGGUGGGAAGGAGUCCUGGAAGGCCGGGGUCCAGAAAGCGGGCCCGCUGUGGUAACGCCAGGUCCCUGGACGGGAGUGGGCUCCAGGUUCAGUCGGGUCUUAGCGUGGGUCGUGGUGGCCACAGACCACCUCUUCCUGGCACUUCCCCUGCCCUGGCACCGCUGAGGGCGUGGGUGUAGCCUCAGUCAGCAGGAAGAGGCGCCUGGCCCCCGGUCCCCGGUGGCGUGGCCACUGGAGAUCAGGAGGGGCUGCUGCUUCUGCCCUCUAGCCCGUGUCCCAGCGGCGCCAGCCUUCGAGUGGUGUAGGCGCUUUACGUGGUUCAGGUCCAGCAGUGGUCGGCGCGUUUCCGUCGGGCGCGGUUCGCGUGGCACGGCGUGCGGGGACAGCGGGCGCCCACGGUCGGGCGGAGGGUGAACCUGCUGGAGUGUCGUGUUCCGGUGUUCAGAGGCAGGGGCUGUGAGAGAGGGAGCCUGUGGCCUAUUUCAGCAGGCCGAAAGGGCAGAGGUGAGCCGCCGGGCGAGUCGAGGUCAAAGCCGCCAGCGCGAGCUCUUGGUCUCGCGGCAGGGCCUGAGGCCAGGGAUGUGUGCGGAAGACGUGCUUCUUCAGGGGCUCGGGCCCCGCGCACCCGAAGACACGCACACGCGCCCGCCUGCGCGCCUUCCUGCGCUUGUGCUGUCACACACGCCUUCUUGUCACACCUGAGGGGAAGAGGUAGAGGCCAAGAAGAUGCAAGGCUUGCCCCGGGGCAGGGAGUCGGGGUGGAACCCUUGGCCUGGCUCUGGUUACCUGAGAGCCUGGCUGGGUCGCUGAGGCGUGCGCGUGCGAUUGCUCUGCACUUCCCAGGUGGGAUCUCCGAGCAAAGCUUGCCGUCGCCCAAGAAGAGAAGACCUUCCUGUCGUUUGUGGAGCGGAGACGCGAGGGAAUCCCGCAAGAAGCGUGGCUUCGGGUGCGCCCCGUGCCCGUGGCUCGCUGAGGCUGGGAAGGCUCGGCUGCGGUAGAUGACCUGUGCGGUAGACGGCGUCGCGCCCCCGGGAGGUUCGGCCCCCAGUGUUUGUCGUCCUAGCGCCUUGAAGAGACCCACAGGCCCGCGACUGGCCACCGGCCCCGUCUGCUCCGGAUUGCUGAGGCGGACAAUCUCUUUGACCCUGCGCCCCCUCGGGUCCGGCGCUUGCCAGGUGAAGGCGUUGCUGCAGGAAGGUUCGCUCUUCCUGGCCCGGGGGGCUCCUGUGGUCCCGGGCGUGCCGGGGAGCGGGGCCAGGUGGCGGUGUGGGGCGUCGGGGGGGGGGUGUGGGGGCGUGCGCGAGGGGUGGUUAAGAGCGGUGUGCGGAAGCCUGCGGGCGUGGCAGCGACCCGAGGGUGCUGCGAUCCUGGGCGCCCUGCCCCGGACGCACGUCCAGCGUGGAGGAGGAGCACGUCUCCUUGUGUGGGAGCGGUGUCCUAGUUUCAUUCUUUGCCUUGUCUUCCAGGAGGAGGCAGCGUUUGUGCUCUGUGAGGUCGUCUGUGGUGUUCUGGGGCCGAAGGAGGGGGUCAUAGGUCGAGUGCGACGCGGUCGACUUAGGCAAAGUCAUAAUGCCUUGACGGCUGUCGUCCGGGAGGCUCCCUGCCCGCCUGGCGCGCGAGGUGUUGGAGGCUACACCUUGGGGGACUUGCUGUGCAGGCGUGAGGGGGCUUCCCCUUUGGAGCAGGGAGCCGCGGGGUUGAACGUUUCCUCGAAGGCCAGCGCCCCGCAACCCGCAGGCGGUGGAAAUGCCGCGUCGCUGCGUGGGAAUUGGCUGUGGUCUGAGACGGGUCUUGCCCCGGGUCUCGGUGGCUGUGACCAGCCGUUGCAGCGGGGUUCCCUGCUGGCCCGCCCAGGGCGUCUUGGCUUAGAUAGCCCAGACCGGAGUGCGGCCUGAAGGCGUCGGGCCCCUGGAGGUUCAGACGGGCUGCUUCUGUUGCGCCGCCCGUGGGCGAGUGGUGCCGGCUCUCGUGUCAGCCCUGUUGUCCUGGCGGUAGCCAGGUAGCAUUACCAUCAAGUGCCGUUCCCCCCGGCCCAGCUCGCGGGGACACGCUGGCCACGUUGACCUCACAUCCACGGUCAGCGUGAGGGUGUAGGUGGAUGGUCCGUGUCCUUUGCUCAGAAGGAGUGGCGCUCAGAGAGGGAGUCCGGGGCCGAUUGCAGCAGCCUCUAGCGGUGCGAGUUGGCGUCCUUCCUUGGGAAGUCACCGGGCUUCCGCGUGGGGUGGCAGGGCACGAGGUCAGGCAUCUGUGAGGACGGCGUGCUUUCCCGGGUGCUGAGGCCACCGCACACGGAAGCCUGCAGGCACGCACGCGCGCACGCGCAAACACACACACACACACACACACACGUGCACAGGCCUGCGCAUCUGCCUACACUCGGGAUAUCACACGCGCCUUCGGUCAUCCCGAAGGGAUAGAGGUACAGGGCAAGCAGAUGCAAGGGUGCCGCGGGGGGAACUGUGGCACGGAUCCUGUCUUCUGACCAGCUGGGCACGUUUCUGAAGCAUGCGUGUGCUUUCUCUACACUCCUCAGGUGGAAGUGCCGUGCAAAGCUCGCUGCCGCCCACCGACAGAAGAAGACCCUUCGUGUCCCGUGACGAGCGCAGGUGCGAGGCAGUCGCGGCGGAAGUGUGGCCCGGGAUGCGCACCACGCCCUCGGACGGCCCAGGACGGUCAGCAUUGCUUUGUCCCAAGUUCGGCCUCUCGCCCUGAGGGCUUCGCUAGACCUGCCUCAGAGGCUUCUUGGGCGCGUGUACCCGGGGGCCCGCGGCGUCGUGCUCUGAGGGCGGACUGACUGUUGCCCCUGCUCCGGCGGGGCUCGGCUCUGGAUUCUCCAGGCCGCUGGCGCCCAUGAGGCGAUCGGCUCGCCCGCUGCGGAGCCCCCCAGCCUGCCUGGUUAGUUUGUCCAGGUUGGCAGAACGUGCUCGGAUCGAUGAUGACUCCCUCAUAUGCAUUCCUUGGAAAAUCUGAACAAAAUGAGUGAGAACUCACUACCGUCGUUCUCAUCGAAACUGAGGUCCGGCACGUUGUCUUCCCCAGGCAUGGCAGGAGUGAGGGACCGCUUCCCCUUGAGCGCACUGGGACGGGCACGGGCACCACGCCGGGCGUCCGCAUUUGGGAGCCGUGGCAUUUGGGGGUCCUUCCUCUCACCGCGUGAGGGGGGUGUCCGUCAGUCGGCGGUGCUUGGUUGAACGGCCUGUGGCUGAGGGCCGUGGCUGGCAGCUCGCAUCCUAGGUUGGGAAGUCGGAGAGUGUGGCGCUGGCACAGGCCCCGUGAGCUCAGGGCCUUGUGGCUGUGUGGGCCUGGUUCCCGCCGGGGACGAAGGCCCCGGGGGUCUGCGUCUCGGAGCUGAGCAGUAAGCAGUGGAAGGUCGCGUGGUUUCUGAUGAGAGCCCCGGGCCAGGCGGGCGGCCGUCAGCUGUUCUUGCCUUUUGGCUUGGUGAGGCAGUUGGAGCACCCCUCGCGGUUUGGGGCGCCGCCGGAGGGGUGAGACUUUGGUGCUGCAGCUUGGGGCUCCUCUAGUUCUCCGGCUCGCCCAGUCCACGCCAAGGUGCCCAAACGGGGACCGGGCUGUGGGCCUGGCACUCAGGUCAGGACACUGUGGUGGCUGAUGGCCUGGUCGUGGGGAGCUGGGGGGGAAGAAGAGCACGGAGAGGACAGGUCACAGUGUGAUGCCGUGGGCUUCCGUGGGACGUGCUGCCUCGUUGUGUUCCGAGCGCUGGCAGCGGCUUGUCGGGAACGUGCCCUGGCUCUGACGGGGCUGGCGAUUGGUGCGUGCCGGGGAAGGCUGGAGGCUUGAAGGCCCGGGGGUGUGCACUGUGGUCGGUGACCUUUGUGGCAGAUGGCGGGCCUUGUUCCAGAGCGGUGGCGCUCUGCGGUUCUCUCCACGGUUCCUUGAAGAGGGGCCCGGCACGUGACUGCCGGGCGGCCGGCCGCCGCUGCUCAUCGAUUGCUUGGGCGACCGUGGCCUUGGAUCCUCCCCCGUCUCAGGCGCGGGGUCUCCGAGGAGAAAGCGUUCCUCCAGCACGGUCCGAUUUUCCUGGCGCGGUUCGCCUCAUGCCUCGUCGCAGGGCUUUAGGUUUCUUCGUGGAAGCCUGUGGGCCUGGCGGAGACGGCGGGUGCCGUGACCCGAGCUGCCCUGCCGCGCACAGACGUCCGCCUUGGAAAACGUCCGCCUCUCCAAGGGUGGCGGGGGCGGGGUGUGUGUGUGCUCGUUCCGUGCCUCCUCUUGCCUUCGUGGACAGAGCCAUCCUUGGGGCCGUGUGAGGUCGUUUGUGGUGUUACAGGUGCCGAGGGAGGGUCCAGACGUUGAACGUGACGGGUCGAGUCCCGUACGCACAGUCGAGAUUCCCUCGUGGCCGUCCUCCCCGGGGCUCCCUGGCCGCCACGUGUGUGUAGGGUUUGAGGUCCUGCUUGGGGGACUUGCCUCGCAGGCCUGAGGUGGGCCAGGCAGCGCGUGGGUGGGAAGGAGUCCUGGAAGGCCGGGGUCCAGAAAGCGGGCCCGCUGUGGUAACGCCAGGUCCCUGGACGGGAGUGGGCUCCAGGUUCAGUCGGGUCUUAGCGUGGGUCGUGGUGGCCACAGACCACCUCUUCCUGGCACUUCCCCUGCCGCUGGCACCGCUGAGGGCGUGGGUGUAGCCUCAGUCAGCAGGAAGAGGCGCCUGGCCCCCGGUCCCCCGGUGGCGUGGCCACUGGAGAUCAGGAGGGGCUGCUGCUUCUGCCCUCUAGCCCGUGUCCCAGCGGCGCCAGCCUUCGAGUGGUGUAGGCGCUUUACGUGGUUCAGGUCCAGCAGUGGUCGGCGCGUUUCCGUCGGGCGCGGUUCGCGUGGCACGGCGUGCGGGGACAGCGGGCGCCCACGGUCGGGCGGAGGGUGAACCUGCUGGAGUGUCGUGUUCCGGUGUUCAGAGGCAGGGGCUGUGAGAGAGGGAGCCUGUGGCCUAUUUCAGCAGGCCGAAAGGGCAGAGGUGAGCCGCCGGGCGAGUCGAGGUCAAAGCCGCCAGCGCGAGCUCCUGGUCUCGCGGCAGGGCCUGAGGCCAGUGAUGUGUGCGGAAGACGUGCUUCUUCAGGGUCUCGGGCCCCGCGCACCCGAAGACACGCACACGCGCCCGCCUGCGCGCCUUCCUGCGCUUGUGCUGUCACACACGCCUUCUUGUCACACCUGAGGGGAAGAGGUAGAGGCCAAGAAGAUGCAAGGCUUGCCCCGGGGCAGGGAGUCGGGGUGGAACCCUUGGCCUGGCUCUGGUUACCUGAGAGCCUGGCUGGGUCGCUGAGGCGUGCGCGUGCGAUUGCUCUGCACUUCCCAGGUGGGAUCUCCGAGCAAAGCUUGCCGUCGCCCAAGAAGAGAAGACCUUCCUGUCGUUUGUGGAGCGGAGACGCGAGGGAAUCCCGCAAGAAGCGUGGCUUCGGGUGCGCCCCGUGCCCGUGGCUCGCUGAGGCUGGUGGAAGUGCCGUGCAAAGCUCGCUGCCGCCCACCGACAGAAGAAGACCCUUCGUGUCCCGUGACGAGCGCAGGUGCGAGGCAGUCGCGGCGGAAGUGUGGCCCGGGAUGCGCACCACGCCCUCGGACGGCCCAGGACGGUGGGAUCUCCGAGCAAAGCUUGCCGUCGCCCAAGAAGAGAAGACCUUCCUGUCGUUUGUGGAGCGGAGACGCGAGGGAAUCCCGCAAGAAGCGUGGCUUCGGGUGCGCCCCGUGCCCGUGGGUCGCUGAGGCUGGGAAGGCUCGGCUGCGGUAGAUGACCUGUGCGGUAGACGGCGUCGCGCCCCCGGGAGGUUCGGCCCCCAGUGUUUGUUGUCCUAGCGCCUUGAAGAGACCCACAGGCCCGCGACUGGCCACCGGCCCCGUCUGCUCCGGAUUGCUGAGGCGGACAAUCUCUUUGACCCUGCGCCCCCUCGGGUCCGGCGCUUGCCAGGAGGCAGCGUUUGUGCUCUGUGAGGUCGUCUGUGGUGUUCUGGGGCCGAAGGAGGGGGUCAUAGGUCGAGUGCGACGCGGUCGACUUAGGCAAAGUCAUAAUGCCUUGACGGCUGUCGUCCGGGAGGCUCCCUGCCCGCCUGGCGCGCGAGGUGUUGGAGGCUACACCUUGGGGGACUUGCUGUGCAGGCGUGAGGGGGCUUCCCCUUUGGAGCAGGGAGCCGCGGGGUUGAACGUUUCCUCGAAGGCCAGCGCCCCGCAACCCGCAGGCGGUGGAAAUGCCGCGUCGCUGCGUGGGAAUUGGCUGUGGUCUGAGACGGGUCUUGCCCCGGGUCUCGGUGGCUGUGACCAGCCGUUGCAGCGGGGUUCCCUGCUGGCCCGCCCAGGGCGUCUUGGCUUAGAUAGCCCAGACCGGAGUGCGGCCUGAAGGCGUCGGGCCCCUGGAGGUUCAGACGGGCUGCUUCUGUUGCGCCGCCCGUGGGCGAGUGGUGCCGGCUCUCGUGUCAGCCCUGUUGUCCUGGCGGUAGCCAGGUAGCAUUACCAUCAAGUGCCGUUCCCCCCGGCCCAGCUCGCGGGGACACGCUGGCCACGUUGACCUCACAUCCACGGUCAGCGUGAGGGUGUAGGUGGAUGGUCCGUGUCCUUUGCUCAGAAGGAGUGGCGCUCAGAGAGGGAGUCCGGGGCCGAUUGCAGCAGCCUCUAGCGGUGCGAGUUGGCGUCCUUCCUUGGGAAGUCACCGGGCUUCCGCGUGGGGUGGCAGGGC
ensembl:lncRNA